rnacentral:tRNA from 1 species
GCCCAGAUAGCUCAGUCGGUAGAGCAACGGACUGAAAAUCCGUGUGUCGCUGGUUCAAUUCCUGCUCUGGGCA